GUGUCAGCAGCCGCGGUAAGACGAACCGAGCGAACGUUAUUCGGAAUCACUGGGCUUAAAGGGCGCGUAGGCGGGUGGCCAAGUCUAUGGUGAAAUCCUCCAGCUUAACUGGAGAACUGCCGUGGAUACUGGUCAUCUCGAGGAAGGUAGGGGCAUCUGGAACUGGUGGUGGAGCGGUGAAAUGCGUUGAUAUCAUCAGGAACUCCGGUGGCGAAGGCGAGAUGCUGGACCUUUUCUGACGCUGAGGCGCGAAAGCCAGGGGAGCAAACGGGAUUAGAAACCCCCGUAGUCC
rnacentral:rRNA from 1 species